CCAUUUGUAUGUCGUAUUUUGGGAAAUGUCUGUUCAAGUCCUUUGAUCAUUUUAAAACUCUGGUUGUUUUCUUCCUACUGAGUUGUUUGAGUUUCUUAUCUACACUUUAGAUCAUAACAACCCCUUCUCAGAUACAUGGUUUGCAAAUGUAUUCUCUCACUCUAUGGAGUCUCACUCUGUAGCCCAAGCUGGAGUGGCGUGAUCUCGACUCACUGCAACCUCCGCCUCCUGGGCUCAAGUGAUUCUCGUGCCUCAGCCUCCUGAGUAGCUGGGACUACAGUUGUCCCUUCACGUGGGAUUGCUUCCAGUACCUCUGUGUAUAACAAAAGCUGCACCAUUCAAGUCCCACAGUUGCUCUGCGAAACCUCUGUAUAUGAAAAGUUGGCCCUCCAUGUACAUGGGUUUCCCAUCCU
rnacentral:antisense_RNA from 1 species